rnacentral:lncRNA from 1 species
UUCGAGCCGCCCUGCAGCGGUGUGGAGACUCCGACCAGUUGGGGCAGGCGGCUCAGGUCGCGGCCAGCCAGGGGUUGGGAAACUAGUUUCCAUGGCCAAACCUAGCCCACCGUCUGUUUUGGUGUCCAUGGAUUGGCGGGGACAGCUCUGCUUAAGGAUGUAGUAGCUCUGCAGGUUGGCUAGGUUCCUGUUCUUCCCAACCUGCGCUAUGGACUUCAUCAGAUUUCAGCAUCAGAGAGAAUAUGGAAGGACAUCGACCCUAACUUCAUCCAGUGAGGAUUUCCACACACCAUACACUCUCUGAGAGUUCUCUUGGCUUUGUGUGCACACCUCCAGUGACAGGGAGCUCGCUAUGUCAUGAGGCAGCCUGCUCCCUUGUGGCUAUCACUGAACCAACUAUUAAGCCUUCUUAUACAAACAGUCCCUGACUUACUGUUAGACUUACAACUUUUUGAUUUUACAGUGGUGCAAAAGCAAUAUGCAUUCCAUAGAAACUGUAUUUCAAAUUUUGAAUUUUGAUCUUUUCCAGGCUAGCAACAUAUGAAGACCAACCUUCUAUUUUUAAAAUAGGCUUUGUGUUAGAUGCUUUUGCCCAACUAUAGGUUAAUGUAAAUGUUCUGAGAAUAUUUGAGGAAGGCUAGGCUAAACUGUGAUCUUUGGGAGCUUAGAUAUGUUAAGUGCAUUUUCAACUUACAAUAUUUUCAACUUACGAUGAGUUUAUUGGGAUGAAGCCCGUUGUAAGUAAAGGAGCAUCUGCAUUAAGCUAAAAUCCAUGUCUAUAACUUCCUCAGUAAUAUCAAGUUUGUUCCUUGGAGCCAGAGAAUAAACUGAAUCCUUUUCCAC